UGCGUAGGGGGCAAGCGUUGUCCGGAAUCAUUGGGCGUAAAGCGCGUGUAGGCGGCUCGGUAAGUCUGCUGUGAAAGUCCAGGGCUCAACCCUGGGAUGCCGGUGGAUACUGUCGAGCUCGAGUCCGGAAGAGGCGAGUGGAAUUCCUGGUGUAGCGGUGAAAUGCGCAGAUAUCAGGAGGAACACCGAUUGCGAAGGCAGCUCGCUGGGACGUUACUGACGCUGAGACGCGAAAGCGUGGGGAGCAAACAGG
rnacentral:rRNA from 1 species